rnacentral:rRNA from 1 species
CUCAGUUCGGAUUGGAGUCUGCAACCCGACUCCAUGAAGCUGGAUUCGCUAGUAAUCGCGCAUCAGCCACGGCGCGGUGAAUACGUUCCCGGGCCUUGUACACACCGCCCGUCAAGCCAUGGAAGCCGGGAGUGCCCGAAGCCGGUGAGGUAACCGAGAGGAGCCAGCCCGUCGAACGGUGAGACCAAUGACUGGGGUGAAGUCGUAACAAGGUAUC